rnacentral:rRNA from 1 species
GACGAACCGAGCGAACGUUGUUCGGAAUCACUGGGCUUCAAGGGCGCGUAGGCGGGUUCUCAAGUCCGGGGUGAAAUCCCACAGCUCAACUGUGGAACUGCCUCGGAUACUGGGGGUCUCGAGGGUGGCAGGGGUAUGCGGAACUAUCGGUGGAGCGGUGAAAUGCGUUGAUAUCGAUAGGAACUCCGGUGGCGAAGGCGGCAUACUGGUCCACUUCUGACGCUGAGGCGCGAAAGCCAGGGGAGCAAACGGG